UACGUAGGGUGCAAGCGUUGCCCGGAAUUAUUGGGCGUAAAGAGCUCGUAGGCGGUUUGUCGCGUCUGCUGUGAAAUUUCGGGGCUCAACCCCGGAACUGCAGUGGGUACGGGCAGACUAGAGUGCGGUAGAGGAGACUGGAAUUCCUGGUGUAGCGGUGGAAUGCGCAGAUAUCAGGAGGAACACCAGUGGCGAAGGCGGGUCUCUGGGCCGCAACUGACGCUGAGGAGCGAAAGCGUGGGGAGCUAACAGG
rnacentral:rRNA from 1 species